GAAGCUCUAGUAUAAAUUUUUGUAUUUUUAAUUGCAAAUUAGAAGGUGACGGGUUUUU
rnacentral:tRNA from 1 species